rnacentral:rRNA from 1 species
GUGUCAGCAGCCGCGGUAAGACGAAGGUGGCAAGCGUUGUUCGGAAUCACUGGGCAUAAAGCGCGCGUAGGCGGCUGGGUCAGUCAGGUGUGAAAGCCCUCGGCUUAACCGAGGAACUGCGCCUGAUACUGCCCGGCUUGAGGUCCGGAGGGGAGAGUGGAAUUCCCGGUGGAGCGGUGAAAUGCGUAGAGAUCGGGAAGAACGCCGGCGGCGAAAGCGACUCUCUGGUCGGAUCCUGACGCUGAGGCGCGAAAGCUAGGGGAGCAAACGGGAUUAGAUACCCCGGUAGUCCUAGCCAUAAACGAUGGGUGCUAGGUAGUGGUCGUUCCUAUGCGGUCACUGCUGGAGCGAAUGUUUUAAGCACCCCGCCUGGGAAGUACGGCCGCAAGGCUAAA